CAGCCGCCACGGUAAUACCGAGGGUGCAAGCGUUAAUCGGAAUUACUGGGCGUAAAGCGCGCGUAGGUGGUUUGUUAAGUUGGAUGUGAAAUCCCCGGGCUCAACCUGGGAACUGCAUUCAAAACUGACUGACUAGAGUAUGGUAGAGGGUGGUGGAAUUUCCUGUGUAGCGGUGAAAUGCGUAGAUAUAGGAAGGAGCACCAGUGGCGAAGGCGACCACCUGGACUAAUACUGACACUGAGGUGCGAAAGCGUGGGGAGCAAACAGGAUUAGAUACCCCCGUAGUCCCUGUCUCUUAUAA
rnacentral:rRNA from 1 species